UGGACAUAUCAUAUUGAAAUACCGGUUCUUAUACGAUCACCGAAGUUAAGCGACGUCGAACCCGGUCAGUACCUAGAUGGGUGAUCGCUUAGGAAUACCAGGUGCUGUAAG